rnacentral:rRNA from 1 species
CCUACGGGUGGCAGCAGUGAGGAAUCUUGGUCAAUGGACGGAAGUCUGAACCAGCAACGCCGCGUGCAGGAAGACGGCUCUCUGAGUUGUAAACUGUUUUUGUACAAGGGUAAACCUGAAUACGUGUAUUCAGCUGACAGUACUGUACGAAUAUGGAUCGGCUAACUCCGUGCCAGCAGCCGCGGUAAUACGGAGGAUCCAAGCGUUAUCCGGAUUUAUUGGGUUUAAAGGGUGUGUAGUCGGAUUGAUAAGUUAGAGGUGAAAGGUGCGGGCUUAACUCGGGAACUGCAUCUAAUAAUGUUGAUCUAGAGCGUAGAUGAGGUAGGUGGAACGUAUGGUGUAGCGGUGAAAUGCUUAGAGAU